CCAGCUCAUCAUGGGGAUGGGGGCGAUGGGGGUGGGGGGGGGACCUCUGCACAAGGUGUCCCAGUCAGCAAAGGCAAAUUUCCCAAGAAGGUGACUUACUAUUUGGGCCAUUCACAGAAGCAGCAGAGGACCUAGGAGCCAGAGACCUAAUCAUCAAAAGGAUCCAGGGGACCUGGGUGUGGCACCUCUGCUGCCCAGCUACUUUCUUAACAGGGGUGACGGCCAGCGUCUCAUUGGGGGGUUCUUCUUCCUGCAGAGGAGGGUGUAAGCCACCUGGAAACUUCAAGUCUCAAAUAAUUAGUGAAGAACAAAACUCAAAGAGUCAGAAAUAUAUUCACAAAAAGCAGAGCCCCUGGCAGAUCUAGGCCACACGGGCGCUGGCACCGGACAAAGGAAAGAUGGGGUGGUGGUUUAUUUAAGGGGGAACAUCCAAGGCAGGGGUAAGGGCUCAAAGGCGGAGUCUUGCUUCAUGGUGUCCUGCAGUGGGCAGGGUGAUGGGCAUCUUGGCAGGUCCCACCCAUCUCAGGUCCAGUGUGGGGUCGCCGGCAGAGCUUGAGGAGGAAGUGCAUCCGUAUCAGGUGGUCAGUCCCUGUGGGUGCCACGGGGAGUUCCCGGUGCCAGACGUACCCCUCAGGAGGGUGCGAUGCCCAACACCAUCCACACAGCCCACGGGCAGCUCUCAACCCUUUUCCUUGUUUUGAAGAAAACAAAGGUUGACGUUCUGGGCAGAUGACACCACAGGACAAGAAAGUUUCCGAUCAAUGUUUUAGGCUUUGAAGGCCAUGUGGUCCUGUCACGAUGACCUAACUGUGUCCUUCUGGCACUCAAGCAAGCCUGGACAACAGGAAAAUGAGUGGAUGCAGCCAUGUUCCUGGAAGGCUUUGUUCACUACAACUGUCAAUUUGGCCUCUGGGCCACGGUUGGCAGGUCCCUGGAGACUCUCCUGCCAGGUCAGCAACCUCGACCACUUGGUGCUGGCCAGUGUGUGAACACUCCUCUAAGAAGCCCAAUUUGACCUGUUGCAGCCCCUCUCGUGAGUUUUCAAGGCACAAGCUGGGACCCCCAAGACAGAAGCUCAGACUGGUAGCUCAAGUUUUUUGUCCAAUUUUGAAACAAACUAUGUUAAGUCCAGGGUUUAAUCUCUCUAUGGAGCCUGAACACAUCACUGAAAUCUUCAGGAGAUGGAAAACAUAACUUGGUGGUUUGCAAAGAUGACACCAUCCCCAGCAAAAGAAUGCUCUUGAAUCCCUGCCUCACACCAUAUAAAACAACUGAACUCAGAGUGGGUCAAAGAGUUAAUUAAGCACAAGAGCUAAAACUAUAAAAUUCUUAUAAGAAAAUGUAGAGGUGAAUCUUUGCAAAACUAGGAUUAAGCAAUGGCUGAUUGUAGAUAUGACACCUAGACCGUGAACAACCAAAGAAAAUAAUAAAUAGAGCUUCAUCAAAAUUAAAAACUGGUGCAUCAAGUAAAAGUGUGAUGUUUAAUUUUAUGUCCACAUGGGUACUCUACAGGAUCCAGUUAUUUAAGAAAAACAUUAGUCUAGAUAUUACUGUGAGGGUGCUUUGUAGAUGUGAUUAACAUCUAUAGUCAGUUGAUAUUAAGUGAGGAUUAUUUUCAGCAUUGUAGGUGGGCCUCCCCCAAUCAGUUGAAGACCUUGAUGGCAAGAUCUGAGGGUUAUGGGAGAAAAACAAAAAUUCUCUCUCAAGACUAUAGCAUCAAUUCUAUCUGAGAUUCUAGCCUGCUGGCCUGUCAUGAAAUUCAGACUUGCCAGUUCCCACAGUUGUGUGAGACAGUUCAUUAAAACAGGUCUUUUAUGUUUUUUAAAAUUGUUUCUAUUGCUUCUGUUUUUCUGGGGAAUCCUGACGGAUUUAGACACUCAAGACAAUCCACGGGAAGGAAAAAAUAUUUGUAAAUCGUAUACUGAUAAGAGUCUACUGUCCAGAAUAUAAAGAACUCAUAAUUCGACAGCAAAACAUAAUAAUAAUGAUAAUGAUAAUGACCUAGCUGGAAAAUAGGCAAAUGGAUUGAACAUACAUUUCUGCAAAGAAGAUAUGCAAAUAGCGAAUGAGUCCGUGAAGACAUGUCAACACUAGUCACGAGGGAAAUGCAAAUCAAAACCAUGAGAUAACACGGCACAUUCACUUGGAUGGCUCUGGUUUAGAAAGGGAAAAAAAUAAGCCUUGGGAUGUGGAGAAAUUGAACUCUCAUAAAGUGCUAGUGGGAAUGUAGUAGCCACUCAGCACCUAGUUAGAAGUUCACCGGAAAGUGGAACAGAUCUGCCGUGGGACCUGGCAAUUCCACGGUAGAGGUGGACACUGGAGUAUUUAACCAAGAGAGCGGAAAACACAUUCACCCAAAAACUGUGCAAAAUAUCUCCAGCAGCGUUAUUCACGAGAGCCUAAAAGGGUCAACUGACCAGAUGUCCAUCAACAACAAGUGUGUGAGCAAAACGUGGAGUAGACACCUGGAGGAAUGAAGUACUAAUUUAGUCAGCUCUUUGGCUGCUGUGACUAAAAGACCGACCAGCACGACUGUAGGGGAGAAGUUUAUUUGAGGGCUCAAGGUUUCAGAGGUCUUGGUCCAUAGAAGGCCGGCUCCUUUCCUGGGGCUCCGGGUGAGGCUGAACGUGAUGGUGGAAGAGUGUGGCAGAAGGAAGCAGCUCACGUGACGAUCAGGAAGCAGAGAGAGACCUCCACUCCCCAGAAACAAAAUACACGCCCCGUAGCCGCGUCCCCCAUGAAUGACUUCCCCCAGCCACACCCGCUGCCUCCAGUUACCACGGGGCUCAUCCCAUCAGGGAUUCAUUCGCUGAUUAUGUUAAGGCCAUGACCCCAUCACUUCUCCUCCAAAUCUUCUCACAUUGCUUCACACGGGAGUUUUGGGGGGGAAACUCACCUCCCAUCCAAACCAUACCCAGUACCUGUCCACAGUACCGCACGGAUAACCCUGGGGAACACUGGGCUAAAUGAGGACAGUCAGGCACCAAGCCAUACGCCGUGCGAUUCCAGUGCCGACCAAUGUCCGGAAUAGGCACACCCUUAGACACAGAAGGAGGUCAGCGGUUGCCAGGGGUUGGGGACAUGGAGGAGAAAGGGAGUGAGUGACUGCUCAUGGUUUCUUUCAGGGCUGUUGAAAAUGUCCUGGCAUUAAACUGUGUGACAGUGCCCCAAUCCUGUGACCACACCAAGCCCGUGCAUUUAAAACAGCAAAUUCCAUGAGAUAGGAAGACCUCGAUAUUUGGAGACUGGAACGGCAGACGGACAAUAUUAACUGCCCGCCCCAAUAUCUGCUCCUAGGAUGGGGCAUGGCGUUUGGAACCCAGGAAGCCGUCUUGGGUGGUGAUGGGUGUCAGCCAGACAGAGGGAGCCCAGGCCCCAUGAUUAUGAGCUGCCUGCCUUAGGCCUCUUUUACAUUGGGAAGAAAUAAACGUCUUUUCAUUGAAGAAGAAAAAAGGUAACCCCUUGUUUUGCUCAUGCCUCUCGGCUUCCUCCUGCAACGGCUCGGCUGUUCUUGUCAGUGUCGACGGUGGCGGCUUGAAGCCCACGGACUGGAGUCUCAGGAUACUUGUUCACUCUCAACUCUGGAAGAUGAUGGUGGCCAUUGGCUGGCAGAUAGGACACCUAGCUGUCCAUGGGACUGGGCUUCCUGCCAUCCCAGAACUCAAGGGGCGUCCUAAAUAGGAGACACAGAGGCUCCCCAGGUAGGUGUGACACCUUUUAUGACCUAGCCUCAGGGUCGAGGAAGGUGGGGUUGCUGAAGAGAUGAUCACCAUUAGAGACAAACCAAGUACUUUGCACAGGCACCAUGGGAAAGAUGCCUGAUGGCAUCUCAGGAAUCAGCAAGACCCCAGCCACUGCAGGAUCAAAGCGUAAACUCAUUUGAAAGGCUGCUUUGAGGGAAAAAAAAAUUAAAAUUGUGAAAGGAUAAAAACGUUAUGCCACACCAACACUAAUCAAAAGAAAAUUGGAAUGACCAUAUUAAUGUCAGUCAAAGCAGAUUCCAAACCAAAGAACAUAAUAAAGGGCUCAAUUUAUUACAGCAUUCUAAGGUUUCCCAGUCUGCAUCCCCAAACUUUUCUAAACUCCUCUCACAAACCAGUUCAAAGGCCUCUGAAUCACGUAGUCAGGUUAAUUACAGCAUGUGCCCACUUCUUGGUACCAGUUUCUGCUGUGCCCCAAGUGCCUGAUGAGAACAACUUGCAGAAGAAAAAGUUUAUUUUUGACUCACAGUUUCAGAGGCCUCAGCCCAUGGUCAGCCGUCUCCAUUUCUUUGGGCCUGAAGUGAGGCAGAACAGCGUGGUGUGGGGUGUGGAGAGGAGGGCUGCUCAGCUCCUGUCAGCCAGAAAAGCAAAGAGAGUUCGUGCUUCUACUUUUUUUUUUUUAAAAGAGAGAGUGAGAGAGAAUUUUUUUAAUAUUUAUUUUUUAGUUUUCGGCGGACACAACAUCUUUGUUUGUAUGUGGUGCUGAGGAUCGAACCUGGGCCACACGCAUGCCAGGCGAGCGCGCUACCGCUUGAGCCACAUCCCCAGGCCCUCGUGCUUCUACUUUUUAAUGCAUGCAUUUAUAUUUAAACUAAGUUUCUUGCAGACAACAUUUAAUUGGGUCUUGUGCUCUUUUUUUAUUCAAGAUAACAACAUCUGACUUUUCUUCUUUGGGGGUACCAGGGAUUGAACUGAGGGACACUCGACCACUGAGCCACUCCCCCAGCCCUAUUUUGCAUUUUAUUUAGAGACAGGGUCUCACUGAGUUGCUUAGCGCUUUGCUUUUGCUGAGGCUGGCUUUGAACUCGGGAUCCUCCUGCCUCAGCCUCCAGAGUCACGGGAUUACAAGCAAAUGCCAGCAAACCAGCCCCAAUAACUGACUUUUAAUUUGCAUCUUUAGGCCAUUUGCAUUUAAUAUAAUUAUCAAUGUGGCUGGCUUUAAAUAUAUCAUCUUGUUAUUUAUUUUCCACUGAUUUCAUCUGGUAUUUUUCCUUAUAUCUUCUCCUUCUUCCUCUUUUUUGCAUUAAUCCCUUUUUAUGGUUUUCUUUUACCCCAUUAUUGACUUGCUAGCUAUAUAUCUGGGUGUGGGGGUUCUUUGUUUCUUUCUUUUUGUGGUUGCUCUAGAGUUUAUGAUACAUGUCUUUAAUUUGUUACCAUCAAGAAAUGCUAUUCCACUUCAUAUAUUAAGUUCAAACCAUAAACACUCUUUUAUUCCUCUCUCCCACUUUCUGCAUUAGAAUGCUCAUAAUUUUACUUCUGUAGAUGUUUCAAAUCAUUAUUGUUAUUUCCUUUAAACAGCCAAAUAUAUUUUAGAAUUAUGGAAAUAGAUUUCUAUACAUAUCCACAGAUUUACCAUUCCUGGCACUUUUUAUUACUUGGUGUCUAUCUCUAUACGUGUCUGAUUUUAUCUUCCUGAUGCCAAAGAACUGGUCUCUGGUUCAAGUCUCAGGGUGAUUAAUUCCCUCAGCUUUAAUGCAUCUGAAAAAGAUCUUAUUUUGCCUUAAUGCCUUGAAAAAUAUUCAGGAAUUAUAAAUUGACUGAUUUUUUUAAGAAUUCAGCCUCUAAAGGUGUCACUUCAUUGUCUUGUGAAAACUCGGCUUUUCCUCUCAUCUUCCUUCUUUGGUCACGAUGUGUCCUCUUCUCCGACUGUUCUGACGUGUUCUCUUGAUCAUGCUCUUGAGUGACGGUAUCACCAUGAGGCAGGGCUUGGGUUCUUUUGUUUUAUUCUUCCUGGGAGGUUUAUUGAACUUCUUGGAUCUGUGGGUUUGUGGUUCUCAUCAAAUUUGAAUGUGUUUUAGUUCCUAGUUCUUCAGUCUCUCACCAUCUCCUGUCCCUCCUCCGGAGUCUCCAGUUACACGUAUGUCAGACGCUUGAUAUUGUCCGUCUGUCACUAAUGCUGUUUAAUUUUUCCCUUGCCUUUGUCUCUGUGCACUUUGUUCUAAUAGUUUCUAUCACUCUAUUUUCAGAUCCACUGAUGGUUCUUUCCUUGGGCAUCUAAUGCACUUUUCAUUUCAUGCAGUGUGGUUUUUUUGUUUUGUGUCUGAGCCUCUCCUCACUUGCUUCCCUCCUCCCAGGCAGUGGCCCGAGCUGCCCAUCUCCAAUGUCUGAAAACCACUGCUUCCGACACUCGGUCUGACUCUUAUUUAAGGUGGGAGGACAAAUCUGGUCCCCAUUUCUCCAUUAUGGCCAGAAACAGAAUUCAGACACAUUCUUACCACCGCAGUGAGCUACUUAAGUUCACAGAUGAAAACCAAAGAAUCCCAUCAGGCAGAGUAGUGACCACAGACAGACGGCCGCGAGGUGAGCUCGGUUUACCGCACGGCUUUAGGUUUGCCAGGGAGAUCUCCAAAUAUCCCCCCGGGGCCGGUCUCUCCAUCUCCAUGUUGGGAACAGUAGACUGGGGGAGGCCUGAUUCCCACAGGAACUGUCCUUGCAUGUCCAUCGGACCACGUUACUGGAAACUGGACCUGCUGCUCCUGCAGCACCCUGAGGUGCUGUCCUGGCCUCCAUGAGUGUCCCUUGAGAUCUGAUAAACCUGUGGCCCAGCCACACCAAUGUCCCCCCAGCUCUCCUGCUGAAAGCCACCAGUCCUGUGUGAGCAGUCUCCCUGCAGGGUUCCUUGACACUACUUUUUACUGCUGCCCAGAAGGAAAACAGCAUGUGUUUCCUUGUCACUAAAACAGGAGGGGAGGGAGGGGGGGAGGUCAGACCUCCCGCCAGGGAUGCCACAGUCAGACCAGCUGACCCAGCCCAGGGGGGCUUGUCCCCUGCCGUUACCUGGAGUUGAGCCAGGCUUUGAUCCUUGCCCUAAAACCCAGACAGAAAACAGAUCAGAAGUUAAAUGUCAACAAGAAGAGGCCGAUGUGGGCCUCCAGCCUUAAAUACUUAACCCCAGAAAGACAGCACAGCAGGGGCUCAGGAGGGGGGACACCUGGGAUUCCAAUCUCGGCUUCCCGACUCACCAGCUUUGGGACUUCAGACAAGUUAUCUCUGUCCCUGAGCCUCAGAGAUGGACCUUGGGCAUACUUGGAGGUGACCUUAGCCCUCCUCCCGAGAUUGUUGUGAGGUUAAGUGAGAUAGGUCAUCUGAAGAACUUCCCACAGGGCCCGGCAUGUGAGCAGACUCCGUGCACAUCUGCUGCUGUGAGGAGGGGCCUGUCCCCCCUGGCCACCAGGCUGCAAGUCUCAGCACUAAUAUACAGGAGAGGGCCCAGGUUUGGGCCGGGCCUGGCCGGGACCUUCUGCCAUCAGCCUGACUCAGCCCGGUUUGUAUAACCAGAGAGGCUUCUCUGCACCUAGCUAGGAAGGGGUUUCUAGUAGCUUCCCGACCACGACCACAUCUCUCUGGAUGGAGGGAGGAGAGCCAAUGUGGCCGACCAACUUCUCAGCCAUUCUUUCUUCUGCAGAUGGAUUUCACCAGCAGCCCUGGGAGGAACACUGUGUCUGAAGUGACUUCUACAAAGUGUAGCCGCUGGGACACUGGCCAAAUUUUCUGGGCCAGAAAUGAAAAAGAAAUACUUUUCUCUGUUGCAGCCAAUCUGCCUUCUGGUCCUAAGUAGAUCAUCAGGGGCACUCCAGGAUGCCACAUACCUUGGUUUGAAGGAGUCCUGGCCACAAUUCCAAAUCUCUGCCUCAGUCUUGUUAGCAUGACUGUCUGUGUGGAUGAGGACGUAUCUUAGGGUGCAGAGAUGACCAUCUCCAUGACAGCUGCCCCCCCCAAUAGCCUGAUAAGCAACGUGAAGGCAGGUGACGUGGGAGAUUGGUGUUGAAAUUCCUGGAAAAAAGUAGAAUGUUUGCCAUCAGUCUCUCCUUGUGGCCUUGGUCACAUUAAAAAUAAGGAAGAGUUUGGAAAACUGAAGACAGAAGAGGGUUCACCCUCCCGUUAGCUGGGCCAUGUCAGGAGUGGUCAAGGCUGCUUUGCAGGGAAGUCAUCUCUGCCCUUUCUUGGGGCAGCCGCUCACACGGGGGGACUGGGGCUGCAUUCGUCUUGUGACCAAGUCGUGGGCAGGCUUGAUGAACAUGAGGCUCCUCUGCUCAGAGGGAGUAGGAUCGGGGCCCUAGGAAUGCCAUCCCCCAUCUCUGGAUGUGUUGGGCAGUGCUUUCCCCUCUGAAAAGGCCACGCGCCUCCCCAAGUUUGUCGAGAACUUAGCAAGUGAGGCCCCCCUUGGAUUCACAGUGCCCCAUUCCCAUUCCACCUGAGCUCCGAGCUCAGAGUUCAGCUUAAACCUUGGGUUAGUGAACUUAGCAGCCACUGUCCUCAGUGCAGAUCACCCAGCCUCCUCCUGCCUGUGGCCCAUGCCAUGGGGCAGGAAUGGUCCAAGUUCAAUUCUGUAUGCACGGCCUAAGAGCUCCCAGCUGUGCGUGUGUGUGUGCGCGUGUGCAUGCGUGAGCAUGUGUGUGUACGGACGGGUACAUGUGUGAGUGUGCGUGCAUGCCUGUGUAGAGGGCAAGAGAUGGGGAUAACAAAUAGAACACAGUACCUCACCCUGGAGACCAUCCACCAGGUUCCUUUAAGAUGUCACUAAGGCUGAGGCCGCCAAUGAACUGACCCCAGAUUCCUGUCACACUGCUGGUGUCCCUGGAGGGCUUCAAGCCUGGAGGAAAGAGGGCACAGGCUUGGGGGCCAGUGGAGAUGUCACCCACACCUUCCCACUGUCGUGGGUCACCAGGGUGACCAACCCUCACCCCUGCAGGCCCUGGAAGGUCAGUUCUCAUGAAAGGUGUUAUCCAGAGAGCCAGGCCCAGCCAAGCGGACCUAAUUAGCUGUAUUUGUGGUCCUUGAGGUUUGGCAAUUGGGGACGGGGUGGGAGAGAGCUGGGGAGGGGGCUUCCUCUUCUAAAGCCUCGGAACAAAGAGAGCAAUCUGGACGGCUUCCAGCUAAUGAGAGCAACUUUCCAAGUAGCGCCCUAAUUGGCGCCUGCUUCGCUGGUGGAAGACAGGGCCUGGCCGCCCCUCGGCCCCAGCAGUGGACAUUCAGGAUGUUGGCAGCCCCAGGUGCCCACCCUACCGUUGGCACUAUUCCAAUGCCAAGAGGUACCCCCCUCCAAAAAAAAAAAACUGCCACGGGCGUUUAAAAUACAGCUUGAUAAUACUGUUGGCAUCCCAAAUGGCCCAGAGCCCCGUAAGAGUCGUUAGUUCUCAGGUUGAUAAGAAAGAAGAGGCAGCAAGCAUGUUUUCUAAUUUUCCAACAAGCCAAGUUUACUUCCUUAAAUUAAAAAAAAAAUUUAAUGAGCACACACCAUUUGUACAUAUUUAUAGGAUACGGCAGGAUAAUUGGAUGCAUGUAGACGAUGCGUAAUGACCAAAGCAGGGUAAUUGGUCUCUCCAUCUCCUCGAACAUUGAUCAUUUGUCUGUGUUGGGAACUUUGGACUCUCCUAGUUAUUUUGAAAUAUAUCAUAAAUCAUAGGCUACCGUUCCCCUGCUGGGCUCUGGAACGGAGGUGGCCUUCCUCCCCUCCACUGUACCCCGGGGCCUGUUAUCUAACUGUCCCCAUGUCCCCUCACCCUUCCUCCUGGACCCUGGCGACCUCUAUUCUACAUUCUUCUUCUCCAAAACAAAAAAUCAGGAGCGUUUCAAGAAUCUGCACAUCAUCCUCGUGGCGGGGCCGUGCUAAUCUCUGUAUCGUUCCAGUUUUAGGGCAUGUGACAAAACCAGCACACAAGUUUACUUCCGUAGGAUCUUAAGCAAGUGGAUCGACCUUGGACUACCCGUGGUUUCCCCAACUGUGACAGAGGGGUGACAGUCAGACACAACCUGAAAGGCUGUUGUGAAAAUCAAUGCCAAGGACAUAGUUUGGUAAAUGUUCAAGACAUGGCGUGCGGUGAUGGUGACGAUGACAAUGGUGAUGGUGACGAUGACAAUGGUGAUGGUGACGAUGAUGGCAACGGUAACACUGCUGCUGCUCCUGGUGACGAUGUGGGAGAUGCUGGUGAUGACAAGUCAUUGGCCCUCCAUGGUCUUGUUUCCCAGGUGGGGGGCACUCAACAGCGUGAUAGAAAGAGGAACUGCUGGUGGCUGAGCUCAUGAACGGUCCUCAGCGCACGACGAGGCACAAUGAUGACAGUGACCCUACGCAGAGUGGAGCUGAUCGUUUCCAAAGGGCUUGUGCGUGUGCCGUGUCACCUGCUCUGUUCCGUGGCUCUGUGAGCAGGUUCUGAUGACCUUCCAUUUACAGAGGAAAACACCUGGGGCCCCGGAGCUUAAGAGCCUGUGAAGGUCACCCCAGUGAGAGUCAUCAGCAAAGCCAUCAGGCGUGGCGUGAGCCGGCACUUCCCACACAGGAAUCGAUGUGUGCAGCUCUGGAGGGACCAUCCUGGGGAUCGCAGCCAGUGCACCCCACACUGCUCUCUCAAAGGCUGACGGGUCCGGUCCGUCUCUCAGCUCUGACGACCAGGUGGGUGGCCGUGGAGGAGUGGAUGCGGGACUCCGGCUGGAAGGCAGAAUACGCCAUUGCUGCCCAUUCCACAGCUCGGGCCCUUCCCAGGCCUCUCUCUCCAGCCAGAAUGGAAAGGGGCGGUGGGGACAGGGCGCCAGCUUCCUCCCGGGCUGUCAGGACGCGGACUUGGCAAUGGCCCCUGUGCUGGCGGGGCGCUCCUGGUGCCUUGGUCUCCAAAGCUCCUCUCCACGGGCCAGGUCCCUGGGAGCAACGCUCAAAGCUCAAUCAGGAGGGGACGAGGAGGAACUGCCCCCUGCGGGCCAGGGCUCUGAGACUCGGGCCUGUGGUCUCUGCUGGGCACACGGAGCUGUGGAUGCCUCCUCCGGGCCACCAGAAUCCAGGCUUCCCUCUGGGUCUCUGAGCAGAGCUACUUUUGCCAUCUCCUCUCAUCAAAGCAAACCCAGACCUCCGACCCGAGUUCCCACGAGGGAAGCCUCCGUGGUCCACCAAACAACGUUCAGUCCUGGGCAGAGACCCCACCCUGGGCUGCGACCCCUUCCCUCACACGUCUGCCCUCCAGGCUCCUCCAUGUGACCUCUGUCCCCAGGGGAUAGUUGGGAGUCCUUACAUGGCUGCCCAGGGUUCCCAAGAGCACAAAGCAGAAUGUCCUGGUCUCCGUUUCUGCUGCAUCCUGUUGGCUACAGUGAGUCGUGCGCGGCCCCAAUCAACACGAUGCGAUUACAGGAGGUCAGGAACACAGGGAAGGGGUCAUGGCGCCCUCUUUGAAGACCACCCAUGAGCCAAGCAAGUGUAAGAGCUCCCAGCUGCUUGAGUCGGCACACCGAAUCCCGAUACCGUGGUGAGUUUCCCCUUCAAUUAACUCGGGAUUGAUUAGAAAUGUGAUUUGAAAUCAUGCUUCUCCCUCCCUGGUCUAACACCCUCGGGGCCCAUGCCCCCACUUCCUCAUUUUCUGACAACGUCAAUUAACAGAAUAUUCUCGGGUGCCUACGAUGCUCGAAUCUGUCUUCCACCACCAUGUGCUGGGAUGGUCCAGAGGAAGCACGGUAUCCCCUUGCGAGGCAAGGGUCAUUCCAAGAUGUCCCAACAAGACAGGAUUCACGGGUGGGGACUCGGUAACCAGGGAUCGCUUCUGUCCGUAAAAGUGGCCAAAAAACAGUUUCGGCUCAGGGCCCCUCUCCUAGCGCACCGCCUGGCUCUCUAAGAGACUUACUGGGGUGAGAACGCAGCUGCAUUGGGGUUCAGCAACCUCGGGGUUACGAAGCAGCGCGUCUGCAGUUUUGCUUCCUGUGGCUGACCCAGAUGCGAAGUCAUGUCCGAGGCAGCCACAGAUGUUCUUAUAAAGCUGGGGUCCUGGUUUUUCCUUGAAACUCAGCAGUGUGGUUAGAAGUGGUUGAUGUGCCCCGCGAGGCCUGUCCUCCCCAUUCCUGCUUGAACGGGUCAGCACAGCAGUCCGCUGGCCCGCCACCAUGUGCCCUUAAUGGACAAGUGACUCGAGGCCCUUCCCUUCCUGCCAACGGGAUCGCGGUCGCCUUCAGGUCCAAUCAGAUCAAAUAACCGACCCCAGAUUUCCAUUUCCCUGAGAUCUGGAGUCUACACCUAUGAGGAUUCCAUGGCGGAUAUCGGAAACCUCGCUCGCACCAAUUGAGGCGGAGGGGGAGCUUUCCUCAGGUCUUCGGAGCCUUCCGAGUGUCGGGAGGACAGGAGCAGCGGGCGCCGCGCUGAGUCCAAGGGGGGACCUCCCGUCUCCAGCAUCCCCCGUCUCCCCUCCACGGUUGCCAAGGAAACCAGUGAGUCGGGAAGCCCCAUCACCACACCGUCUCUUCCCAGCCCGUGCCACUGGAGGGGGGCCUGUGCCCUGCCUCUCUCUGUCUGUCUGUCUGUCUCUCUCUCUCUCUUUAAAGCGGUUCCAAUCCAAGUCUUGCACAGGAGACUCUGACGGGCGGAACCCAAAUCACAUCUGAAAACCCUCUGCCAGGAAGUCUGGGAAGCCAGCCUUGUUCUUGCAGCCUCCCAGGGAGCAUGAGCCAGCUUUUGUCACCGUGACAAAAAAUACCCGAUGAAACGACUUAAAGGAGGACCAGCCUGUUGGGCUCUGGUUUGGGAGGGUUCAGUUCCAGAGUCGGUCGGGGACGAGGCAGGAUGCCCGAGGUGGGAGGGCUGGAGGGGGAAAGCCGCUCCGCUCAGGGCAUCGGGGAGGAGAGAGGGAACAGGAAGGGACUGGGGACACGAUACAGCCCCCAAGGGCACGUUGCCAGUGACCUACUUCCUCCAGCCACGAUCCCCCCCUGCCUACAGCUCCCCCCCCCAGAGUCCGCUCAGUUAUCCGUGGGUUGAGGAGGUCAGAGCCUCACAAUCCAGUCGCGUCCCCCAGUCCCGCCUCGGAACACCGCUGCGGUGGGGACCAGGCCUGCCACACGUGCGUCCUUCUUCCCCUGCAAACACCUUGCCCAGGAAGGCUCCCUGGCAUGGCUGUGAGCCAGCAGGUCCAGCGUCGCCCGCGUGGCUGGUUUCUUCAGAUCUGAACGAUUCUUCUCUUGAAAGCCUCACUCAGAAACGCGCUUUCAACUCAUUGAAGGGACUUUUAUCUGUAUCCCAUUUGGUUCCACCAAGGACUUGUGAAGGGUCCGCUGGGGACGGGGCCGCUCUUCAGGAUAGCAGAGAUGGCCCACAGCUGGUCGCCGGGAGCUCACAGCCUAGAAAGGGGGACACGUCAGUAGGAGAUGAUCCGGAGACACAGCUGUUAGAUCAGAUCUGAAACGUCCCCUUAGGGGCCCGGGAAUCACAGACUUGGUCCCCCGCUCAGUGCUACUGGGAGGUGGCACUUGGAAAGGGAAGCCCGGAGGACGGAGGUCACGUCACCGGCCCUUGAAGGGGAUGUGGCCCCUGCUCUCUUCCUCUCUCCCUUCCCGGUAUCAGGAGGUGAGCCGUUCCCGCCUCCACGGGCCACACCAUGAUGUACAGCCUUUGAGCCAAAAUAAAAUCUUCCUCCUUUUAA